rnacentral:lncRNA from 10 species
CCUAACUUUGCCACUUACUAGCCAUGUGAACUUGGGCAAGUGACCUAAUCCUCUGCAUUUCAUCUCUAAAUUGGGGAGAAUAGAAGCAUCUACUUCAUGUAGUAGCCAGGAUUAGAAGAGUGAUGAAGCUAUACUUGUUUCAUUUUCCAGAUGGGGCCACUUGAGGGAAAAGACCUACCCAAGGGCACAUAAUCUGUACAUGAGAGAGAGCCAGAUGUAACAGACUGAGUACUGGACUUGGGGUUAAACAGACUGUGAAUCUUUCCACCCCAUUGGGAGGAAUAACUGGGCCCUGGAUAGAAUGUGAUGAAUGUAUAUUCUUAAUGAGAAGUGGAAAUAAUUUGUGGUUGAGAGCUGUGCCUCAGAUCAGAGUGACAGGAUACAUGGCUAGGCUAUAUUUUCCAGCAGAUUAAGAGCUGCGGCCCAAGACUCUGAAAUAUGAAGAAAAAAGGAGAAGAUGACAGCAUAUCUUUUUAAAGAAAUAUUUUCCAGCCAAAUGGUGUAGCAGAGGACUUCCAGGAAUUUGUUCUUGUUCUGUAUCAAAGGUGAAGAGUUCGUAGCCUUCAAGGAAACAAGAAACCAUGGGAUGGAGUGAAGGAAGGUGGCCUGGAACCAGCUGCUGAGCCUCUCUGAGCCCCAGUUUCCUCGUCUCUAAAAUGGGGCUGAUCUCCUCUCCCUCAGACUGUUGUUGCAGGAAUUAAAACAGGUGUUGAGUGGGAAAGCAUCAGUCCCAUAGCAAAUGGCCCCUGAGUAGUAGGAUCUGAGUUCUGGUUCUGGUCCUGCUGGGGUAUGGCUGGUUGAGAGGUCAAAGAGGUAAUUAAAGGGAUUGCCAGCUUCAUUCUGAAUCUGGCUCACUGCAUGUUUUUGAGAACAGUGGCAGGCCUUUGACGGUUCCACAGAGAAGAGAGACAUAGUCAGUUUGGACAGAGCAGUCUGGGACAUUCUCUGGAAGUUUUAAAGUUGAUAUGACCUACAGAGGAGCAGAGAUGAGAGAAGAGGAAGAGGGAGGAAGAGGCUUUUUACAUGCUGCACCAAUACUGGGUCUAGCUGCAGCUUGGCUGGGUCGCAGAGGCUGAAGAGGGAGCUAAGCCUGGAGAGCUGAAGGUCAACUUCCCUUCCCUGUUGGCUGAGGAUCCAGGUUCUUGGAGCCCCACUGUAGAAAGACUGCUGAUAUCCCAGAAUUCCAAGGUGGAUGUGCAGAUGAGAUUUCCAGUGACACCCAGCAGACUUCACGCAGAAGGUGGCAUAGUGUAGAGACGGGGCAUUCAUGCUUUACCCUUAG